GACGAACGCUGGCGGCGUGCUUAACACAUGCAAGUCGAACGAAGAGCGAUGGAAGCUUGCUUCUAUCAAUCUUAGUGGCGAACGGGUGAGUAACGCGUAAUCAACCUGCCCUUCAGAGGGGGACAACAGUUGGAAACGACUGCUAAUACCGCAUACGAUCUGACCUCGGCAUCGAGGAUAGAUGAAAGGUGGCCUCUAUUUAUAAGCUAUCACUGAAGGAGGGGAUUGCGUCUGAUUAGCUAGUUGGAGGGGUAACGGCCCACCCAAGGCGAUGAUCAGUAGCCGGUCUGAGAGGAUGAACGGCCACAUUGGGACUGAGACACGGCCCAGACUCCUACGGGAGGCAGCAGUGGGGAAUCUUCCGCAAUGGACGAAAGUCUGACGGAGCAACGCCGCGUGAGCGAUGACGGCCUUCGGGUUGUAAAGCUCUGUUAAUCGGGCCGAAAGGCCUUCUUGCGAAUAGUUAGAAGGAUUGACGGUACCGGAAUAGAAAGCCACGGCU
rnacentral:rRNA from 1 species